rnacentral:rRNA from 1 species
AUUGAACGCUGGCGGCAUGCCUUACACAUGCAAGUCGAACGGCAGCGGGCCUUCGGGUGCCGGCGAGUGGCGAACGGGUGAGUAAUGCAUCGGAACGUGCCAUUGAGUGGGGGGAUAACGUAGCGAAAGUUACGCUAAUACCGCAUAUUCUGUGAGCAGGAAAGCAGGGGAUCGCAAGACCUUGCGCUCUGGGAGCGGCCGAUGUCGGAUUAGCUAGUUGGUGGGGUAAAGGCCUACCAAGGCGACGAUCCGUAGCGGGUCUGAGAGGAUGAUCCGCCACACUGGGACUGAGACACGGCCCAGACUCCUACGGGAGGCAGCAGUGGGGAAUUUUGGACAAUGGGCGCAAGCCUGAUCCAGCCAUGCCGCGUGAGUGAAGAAGGCCUCGGUGUAAG